rnacentral:rRNA from 1 species
CGAACGAGCUGUGAGUCUUCGGAUGCAGCUUAGUGGCGGACGGGUGAGUAACGCGUGGGUACCUGCCUCACACUGGGGGAUAACAGUUAGAAAUAGCUGCUAAUACCGCAUAAGUCCGCAUGGAAAAAACUCCGGUGGUGUGAGAUGGACCCGCGUCUGAUUAGCCAGUUGGCGGGGUAACGGCCCACCAAAGCGACGAUCAGUAGCCGGCCUGAGAGGGUGAACGGCCACAUUGGGACUGAGACACGGUCCAGACACCUACGGGUGGCAGCAGUCGAGAAUCAUUCACAAUGGGGGAAACCCUGAUGGUGCGACGCCGCGUGGGGGAAGAAGGUCUUCGGAUUGUAAACCCUGUCAUGUGGGACAUUAAAAGAUAGUACCACAAGAGGAAGAGACGGCUAACUCUGUGCCAGCAGCCGCGGUAAUACAGAGGUCUCAAGCGUUGUUCGGAAUCACUGGGCGUAAAGCGUGCGUAGGCGGUUUCGUAAGUCGUGUGUGAAAGGCGGGGGCUCAACCCCCGGACUGCACAUGAUACUGCGAGACUAGAGUAAUGGAGGGGGAACCGGAAUUCUCGGUGUAGCAGUGAAAUGCGUAGAUAUCGAGAGGA